rnacentral:tRNA from 1 species
GGGGUGUAACUCAGUUGGUAGAGUGCUUACCUUGCACACACAAGGCCCUGGGUUCAAUCCCCAGCACCAUCA